rnacentral:rRNA from 1 species
AGAACGAACGCUGGCGGCAGGCCUAACACAUGCAAGUCGAACGCCCUAGCAAUAGGGAGUGGCAGACGGGUGAGUAACGCGUGGGAACAUGCCUUUCGGUUCGGAACAACUCGGGGAAACUUGAGCUAAUACCGGAUACGCCCUUUUGGGGAAAGAUUUAUCGCCGGAAGAUUGGCCCGCGUCUGAUUAGCUAGUUGGCGGGGUAACGGCCCACCAAGGCGACGAUCAGUAGCUGGUCUGAGAGGAUGAUCAGCCACAUUGGGACUGAGACACGGCCCAAACUCCUACGGGAGGCAGCAGUGGGGAAUAUUGGACAAUGGGCGCAAGCCUGAUCCAGCCAUGCCGCGUGAGUGAUGACGGCCUUAGGGUUGUAAAGCUCUUUUGCCUGGGAAGAUAAUGACGGUACCAGGAGAAUAAGCCCGGCUAACUUCGUGCCAGCAGCCGC